rnacentral:rRNA from 1 species
GUACGACGGAGCACGUGAAAUUCCGUCGGAAUCUGGGAGGACCAUCUCCUAAGGCUAAAUACUCUCUAGUGACCGAUAGUGAACCAGUACCGUGAGGGAAAGGUGAAAAGCACCCCGGAAGGGGAGUGAAAUAGAACCUGAAACCGUGUGCUUACAAGUAGUCAGAGCCCGUUAAUGGGUGAUGGCGUGCCUUUUGUAGAAUGAACCGGCGAGUUACGAUUUGAUGCAAGGUUAAGCAGUAAAUGUGGAGCCGUAGCGAAAGCGAGUCUGAAUAGGGCGUUUAGUAUUUGGUCGUAGACCCGAAACCAGGUGAUCUACCCUUGGUCAGGUUGAAGUUCAGGUAACACUGAAUGGAGGACCGAACCGACUUACGUUGAAAAGUGAGCGGAUGAACUGAGGGUAGCGGAGAAAUUCCAAUCGAACCUGGAGAUAGCUGGUUCUCUCCGAAAUAGCUUUAGGGCUAGCCUCAAGUGAUGAUUAUUGGAGGUAGAGCACUGUUUGGACGAGGGGCCCCUCUCGGGUUACCGAAUUCAGACAAACUCCGAAUGCCAAUUAAUUUAACUUGGGAGUCAGAACAUGGGUGAUAAGGUCCGUGUUCGAAAGGGAAACAGCCCAGACCACCAGCUAAGGUCCCAAAAUAUAUGUUAAGUGGAAAAGGAUGUGGCGUUGCCCAGACAACUAGGAUGUUGGCUUAGAAGCAGCCAUCAUUUAAAGAGUGCGUAAUAGCUCACUAGUCGAGUGACACUGCGCCGAAAAUGUACCGGGGCUAAACAUAUUACCGAAGCUGUGGAUUGUCCUUUGGACAAUGGUAGGAGAGCGUUCUAAGGGCGUUGAAGCAUGAUCGUAAGGACAUGUGGAGCGCUUAGAAGUGAGAAUGCCGGUGUGAGUAGCGAAAGACGGGUGAGAAUCCCGUCCACCGAUUGACUAAGGUUUCCAGAGGAAGGCUCGUCCGCUC